AACAAAGAGCCAAAGACUAAUAAGACUCUAAUCUAUCUUUAAACAAAACAAAGACUAAUAAUACUCUAAUCUUUCUCAAAUCUCAAAUCCCAAAUCCCAAAUCCAAUAGAAAAUUUCUCGUUCCUCUCCACCAUCUUUGCUACAGAAGCUCACGCGAAAACCCUCGGCCGUGUGAGAGAGUCUCAUUCUUUCACCCCAAACAUACACAGAGGUGAGUACAUACACUUCACCUCAGUCUUUCAACUAUAAUAACUGUUCCUUUUAUUUGUUAUCAUAUUUGCUUCACCUCAAUCUUUUGUUUUUUUAAAAGCAAAGUUUGCUCCUUUGAUUUGUUUUGUUUAUGGGUACCGUUGUUAGUGGUAGCAGUGGAAGCAUUUGCAUCUGGGGUUGCAGUUUGACUUGAAUUUAUACCCUGCUUUGACUAGAAAAUUUGACCCCUUUUUUAUUUUAUUUUUAUUUUGUUAACUGAGGAGAAUGAAAAUACUGAAGAUGGUCUAACUAAUUUUGGGUCUUUUGAAAGAAAAUGGAGAAGGAAGGAGGAAAAAACAUGAACUUUGAUAGAUUGAGAUGGAGUUCAUGGGCUUCAGGCUUUGACACCAAUACUCAUCAAAUUUCUUUGCUUGCAGUUAACUUUUUUUAAAGGGUUCAAUAAAAGUGGCUAUCUACUUAUGGAUUGCUGUUUGUGCAAUAUGUUUUCUUGUUUUUGGGUUCAAAUUUUUUACCCGCCUACUCUGUCUGUUGCAUGUUUUAUUCAUGUGUUUGCUACUUGUGGGACCACUGUUUUUUUGUUGUUGUAAUUUUUGUUUCCUUUACCAGUUAUAAAGCAUGUUAGCUUUCAGGUAUUACUAUGUUAUGUUCAUGGACGGAUCCAGGAAUGUAUUAAAGAGGGAUCAAUUUUUUUUACAUAAUUAUUUAAAUAUCUAACUUAUAAUAAAUAAUAAGUUUAACAAAAAUGUUUAUUAUUGAUUUUAUGUGCAAAACUAGAUAUAUAAUUUACUACUGGAAGAAAACUAAGCAUAUAUAAUUUAAUGUUUACAUUUUCUUUUAUUAGUAUGUUUUUAAUUUUAAUUUUUCUUUUUUUUUUCAUAUAUACAUAAAGGAUCUUAAGGGAGGGGGCAAUGCCCCUACUUACCCUCCUUGGAUCCAGUUCUGUGAUUGUUUAUUAAGUGUGGGAAGAAUAUUAUUCCAUUUGUAUGGGUACCACAUACCAGGGUGUUUAGUACAAUACAGCGACUUAUCUAAUUGUUCUUCAAGCUAUGAUGUUGUACACCAUUUAUAAAUUAUAAUGUGUAAGCUUUAGCUAGAUAUUUUUGGUUGUAAGUUGUCACUAUCGUACACUGCUGCAUAGGUUAGGACCUUUAGCAUGAAUGAUAAGAAGUUAUUUUGAUUGUAAGCUUUAGCUAGACAUUCAUUUUUUAUAUCGCACCUUGAGCCUAGAGUUCUGUUUGAUCUGGGGUUGAGACACUACUGUUCUAGUAACUGUACUAUCAUCCUCAUAACUUUAGUUCUUCGCUGCUAAUGACUUAUUGUUGAGUCUGUAAUUUACCGGUGUUUGAUUCUCUCGGCCUUUAUCUCUAUACAUGCAUGUGCAUAUGUAGCAGAUAUACAUAAUAUUCCUUCAUAAUUGUAUUGAUAUUGUUCAAUAAUACAGUGCAAAUGUAUUAAAAUAUUUUUGAUUUUGUAAGUGCUUUUGAGUGAGGGCGAGCCCUGGUGCAGCGGUAAAGCUGCGCCUUGGUGACUUGUUGGUCAUGGGUUCGAAUCCGGAAACAGCCUCUUUGCAUAUGCAAGGGUAAGGCUGCGUACAACAUCCCUCCCCCAUACCUUCGCAUAGCGAAGAGCCUCUGGGCAAUAAGAUGCUGGGAGAUGAGUUUGGAACUGCUUCAAAUAUCAAAAGCAGGGUGAACCGGCAGUGUUGGGUGCCAUUACUUCUACUCAACAGAGGUUGAGACUGUAUAAUAAGGUUCCUCCAAAUGGUUUGGUUCUUUAUACUGGCACCAUUAUCACUGAAGAUGGCAAGGAAAAAAAGGUGACAAUUGAUUUCGAACCUUUCAAGCCUAUCAAUGCAUCACUUUACCUCUGUGACAACAAGUUUCACACAGAAGCUCUAAAUGAACUUUUAGAAUCGGAUGACAAGUUUGGUUUUAUUAUUAUGGAUGGAAACGGCACCCUUUUUGGGACAUUGACCGGAAACACUCGUGAGGUGCUUCAUAAAUUUACUGUUGAUCUCCCAAAGAAGCAUGGCCGAGGAGGGCAGUCAGCAUUGCGUUUUGCUCGUCUUCGCAUGGAAAAGUGGCACAACUAUGUAAGGAAGACUGCAGAACUUGCUACUCAGUUUUUCAUCAAUCCUGCUACGAGUCAACCUAAUGUUUCUGGACUUAUACUUGCUGGUUCAGCUGACUUCAAGACUGAGCUGAGCCAGUCAGAUAUGUUUGAUCCUCGUUUGCAAGCAAAAAUAUUGAAUGUGGUUGAUGUUUCCUAUGGUGGGGAAAAUGGCUUUAACCAAGCUAUUGAGUUAUCGGCGGAGAUGUUAUCUAAUGUAAAGUUCAUUCAGGAGAAACGCUUGAUCGGAAAAUACUUCGAAGAGAUCAGCCAGGACACUGGGAAAUACGUCUUUGGAGUUGAAGACACGUUGAAGGCAUUGGAGAUGGGUGCUGUGGAAACACUUAUUGUGUGGGAAAAUUUGGAUAUUAAUAGAUAUGUACUGAAAAAUAGUUCUACUGGCGAGAUUGUCAUAAAGCACUUGAACAAGUACCAAGAGGCUAAUCAGAGCAACUUCAGAGAUUCAGCCACCUCUGCAGAGUUAGAGGUUCAGGAGAAGAUGCCCUUGCUUGAGUGGUUUGCAAGCGAGUACAAAAAAUUUGGUUGCUCGCUGGAAUUCGUGACCAACAAAUCUCAAGAAGGAUCACAAUUUUGCAGAGGGUUUGGUGGUAUUGGAGGUACCCUUCGCUACCAGCUCGAUAUCAGAUCGUUUGAUGAGUUAUCUGAUGAUGGAGAAGUGUAUGAGGAUUCCGAUUAAGCAUCUGUUUAUACUCUUUUCAUCGGAGUUUUUGAAUAAUAGAAUGAAGCAUUCUAACCUCCAUUGCCAAAAAAAGUCCUAGAUAUUCCUUGAAUUUUAUGGUACCAAGACUUAGUCCUUUGUUUUUACAUUCAUCAAUUAUGUAUUAUUAACUUCGUUUGGUUAUUUAUUGUAUGCUUAAUAGUUAAUACAGCCCGGGGAAGUCAUUCUUCAUUUCAAAGAUAUGAAUGUUUCAAUGUCUUAAGGGCGGUGGCAUCUACAUUGUGUGAUGUAUUAUUAACUUCGUUUGGUUAUUUAUUGUAUGCUUAAUAGUUAAUACAGCCCGGGGAAGUCAUUCUUCAUUUCAAAGA